GAUGAAGAACGUAGCGAAAUGCGAUACUUGGUGUGAAUUGCAGAAUCCCGUGAACCAUCGAGUCUUUGAACGCAAGUUGCGCCUCAAGCCAUUAGGUUGAGGGCACGUCUGCCUGGGCGUCACAUAUCGUUGCCUGAUGCCAGUUUCCUCGUGAUGGGUGACUGUGCAGGGCGAAUGAUGGCUUCCCGUGAGCAUUGUUGCCUCAUGGUUGGUUGAAAAUUGAGUCCUUGGUAGGGAGCGCCGUGAUAGAUGGUGGUUGAGUGACGAACGAGACCCAAUCAUGUGAGACCCCUACCGAAUUUGGCCUUCAUGACCCACAUGCGUCUUUGGAACGCUCAUGACGAGACCUCAGGUCAGGCGGGACUACCCGCUGAGUUUAAGCAUAUCAAUAAGCGGAGGA
rnacentral:misc_RNA from 1 species